UACGAGGGGGGCUAGCGUUGUUCGGAAUCACUGGGCGUAAAGGGCGCGUAGGCGGCGCGACAAGUCAGGCGUGAAAGCCCCGGGCUCAACCCGGGAAUUGCGCUUGAUACUGUCGUGCUUGAGGCCGGGAGAGGAUGGCGGAAUUCCCAGUGUAGAGGUGAAAUUCGUAGAUAUUGGGAAGAACACCGGUGGCGAAGGCGGCCAUCUGGACCGGUUCUGACGCUGAGGCGCGAAAGCGUGGGGAGCAAACAGGG
rnacentral:rRNA from 1 species